AUAAACGGCGAAAGCUCGCAAGAGCCUAGCUUUAUAUUAUUCCAUAACACCUGUGAACCAUUUGCCCUUCUCUCACGAGGGGGUACACUCUACAAACAUAACUGUAAUGAAUGUAAACUAUUAUAACAAUAAUA
rnacentral:misc_RNA from 1 species